GGCGUGCUAUACAUGCAAGUCGAGCGAAUGGAUUAAGAGCUUGCUCUUAUGAAGUUAGCGGCGGACGGGUGAGUAACACGUGGGUAACCUGCCCAUAAGACUGGGAUAACUCCGGGAAACCGGGGCUAAUACCGGAUAACAUUUUGAACCGCAUGGUUCGAAAUUGAAAGGCGGCUUCGGCUGUCACUUAUGGAUGGACCCGCGUCGCAUUAGCUAGUUGGUGAGGUAACGGCUCACCAAGGCAACGAUGCGUAGCCGACCUGAGAGGGUGAUCGGCCACACUGGGACUGAGACACGGCCCAGACUCCUACGGGAGGCAGCAGUAGGGAAUCUUCCGCAAUGGACGAAAGUCUGACGGAGCAACGCCGCGUGAGUGAUGAAGGCUUUCGGGUCGUAAAACUCUGUUGUUAGGGAAGAACAAGUGCUAGUUGAAUAAGCUGGCACCUUGACGGUACCUAACCAGAAAGCCACGGCUAACUACGUGCCAGCAGCCGCGGUAAUACGUAGGUGGCAAGCGUUAUCCGGAAUUAUUGGGCGUAAAGCGCGCGCAGGUGGUUUCUUAAGUCUGAUGUGAAAGCCCACGGCUCAACCGUGGAGGGUCAUUGGAAACUGGGAGACUUGAGUGCAGAAGAGGAAAGUGGAAUUCCAUGUGUAGCGGUGAAAUGCGUAGAGAUAUGGAGGAACACCAGUGGCGAAGGCGACUUUCUGGUCUGUAACUGACACUGAGGCGCGAAAG
rnacentral:rRNA from 1 species